AAAGUUUCUGCUAGUUGUAAUGUUCCCUGAGUGUUCGAAUUAUCAAACCAUUCCUUUGAGUUGAAUGUGUAAAAAAUCUGACAUUUUGAUCACUUUAUUAUGUUGAAUGUUUAGGUUGUUUGGGAACAUAAGAAGGGAAACUUGUGCAAUUGAUAUGCCGUUGACACUAAGUUUCAGUUUGAAAAUCAUUUUCAAAGUAGAUUAGUUAUGUCUCAAAAUAGUGUUUAUACAUGUGCUUAUAAAACUAAUCACCUUUCUUAUAGGGAUCUCUAUAGGGGUACCCUUCAAAAGCUGUUACCUUUCUUACUUUUCAGCUGCAAAUGUCAGUGGUCAUUGGGCAUUUCUUUCCUCAUUCCUAUCAGGGUUCCUAGGGGGAAAAUGGCUUUUCACAACCGGCUGACUCUUGGACAAAAAAUAUUACUGGUUAUUUUUUGUUUUCCGCUACUUCCUUUCUACCUGUGCUAUGCAUGUUGCUGUGCUACUGGCGAUGAAGAUGAAAAAGAUAAUGAAAAAAAUGAGGAAGACAAACUAGG